rnacentral:rRNA from 1 species
UACGAAUGGGGCAAGCGUUGUUCGGAAUCACUGGGCUUAAAGCGUGCUUAGGCGGAUAUGAAAGUCAGAAGUGAAAGCCUGGGGCUUAACCCUAGAACUGCUUUUGAAACUUCAUAUCUCGAAUCCGGUAGAGGUCAGGAGAAUUCCUAGUGUAGAGGUGAAAUUCACAGAUAUUAGGAGGAACACCAGUGGCGAAGGCGCCUGACGGGGCCGGCAUUGACGAUGAGGCACGAAAGCGUGGGGAGCAAACAGG